AAUUUGAAGAGUUUGAUCAUGGCUCAGAUUGAACGCUGGCGGCAGGCCUAACACAUGCAAGUCGAACGGUAACAGGAAGCAGCUUGCUGCUUCGCUGACGAGUGGCGGACGGGUGAGUAAUGUCUGGGAAACUGCCUGAUGGAGGGGGAUAACUACUGGAAACGGUAGCUAAUACCGCAUAAUGUCGCAAGACCAAAGAGGGGGACCUUCGGGCCUCUUGCCAUCGGAUGUGCCCAGAUGGGAUUAGCUUGUUGGUGGGGUAACGGCUCACCAAGGCGACGAUCC
rnacentral:rRNA from 1 species